rnacentral:rRNA from 1 species
UACGUAGGGUGCGAGCGUUAAUCGGAAUUACUGGGCGUAAAGCGUGCGCAGGCGGUUCGUUGUGUCGGCGGUGAAAGCCCCGGGCUCAACCUGGGAAUGGCCGUUGAAACUGGCGAACUGGAGUGUGGCAGAGGGGGGUGGAAUUCCGCGUGUAGCAGUGAAAUGCGUAGAGAUGCGGAGGAACACCGACGGCGAAGGCAGCCCCCUGGGCUAACACUGACGCUCAGGCACGAAAGCGUGGGGAGCAAACAGG